AAAAUUGAGUAUUUUUAAUUUUUUUCAUUUCUUUCAUUUGCACGAAAUCGUGUGUAGGGUUUCUUUCUCUUGCGAAAACGGCGACAGCUUCAUUCUCGACAUAGUCGCCGCCGAAGCUUUGUUUUCCGGCAAUUGAAACACGAAAUCGAAAGGAGAGAAGCUAGUUCCGUCCUAUUCCGUCGUUGUCUCCGUCGUUUCCUUUGUCCGGCUUUUGGCAAAUCGAAACCAAAUCUCAAUCGAAACCACUUAAUUACGAAUAGAAAAUUGCAUUGCCUAUUAUUUGCGAUUUCUUAAUUGCAUUGCCUGUUUCUUGUAGUUUCUUGGACCACUUCACGCAUAGAAAAUAGUUUUGUGAGAGAAUCCAUAGUUCUCUUCUCUGAAUUGUUUAAAUCUAUGUCGAAGUAGCUGAAAUCUAGGGUUUAGAUUCGCUCUUGCAGGUCGUUGCUGAGUUCUUCAAGCUUUGUUCUUUUUUUCUCCAAGAUAAUAAUGGAGUUUGAUAACGUUAGUCUAGAGGUCUUUUUAGCGGUAGGAGUAGUGGUAAGGAAGUAGUAGUAGAAGAAGAAGAGAGUGGGAGGAGCUUGAAAGUGUAUAGCAGGAAAGGGAAUCAUUCUAGAGGUAGUGAGGGUGGUGGUUCAGCGGUUAAAAGGAGAAUGCAUGGUUUGUUGUUUAGCACUUUGUUCAUUGAUUCAUUGACUCGGAUUUUAGCCCUAGUUGAAUCUCUUGGACUGUCUGAUCACUUCUUAGUCAAAGCUAUGACUAGCUAAGUGGUGUCACAGUAGUUAUAGGCUAUAGCAAAGGUCGUAACUCUCUUGGAUCAUGGGAAAGCUGAACUGAAGAAUCAAAGUUUCCUUAGUAGGCCGGUUUUAGCGAGCUUUAGCAGGAUGUGGGGAACAAGAUAAGUUUUGUUUAGUGUGUGUCAAGUGUUAUGACUUUUACUUAUACACAAGUUUUGGUUGCUGUGCCGAGGGAGAUGAGAGAUUGUUGGUAGCAGAGUAUAUGCCAAAUGAUACUCUCUCAAAGCAUCUCUUUCAAUGGGAAAAGUGGGUGUGGAUUCUUGGAUCAUUUGCAGCUUCCUUGGGUGAUGACAAAGAAGGAGCUCUCUGUUUUCAGUGUUUACAUGGAAUCUGUUGUUGUGGGUGAUGACAAAGAAGGAGCUCUCUGUUUUUUAAUUUGAAAGUUUUGUAGGUAAGUAUUAAUAAUUUUUUGUCCAAGAUCAUUGAAUUUGGUUUGUAUCUUUGUUCACAUUCAAGUUUUGGUCUAUAGUUAAUAAUAAAUUACAUC